rnacentral:lncRNA from 1 species
CUCCAGGUGUGGAGAGGCCUUGGUUUUAUAGUCCCUUCAAGUGAAUUUGGGCCGUCAGAUCAAACCAACAUUGAUUGUGUGGUUUAGAUUGAUCCUUUAGGUCGGUGGAGCGUAGUCCUGAAGCAGAGUCCCGAUUGGACUCCAACCCUGGGCGAGCGCCCAAGGGGGGUGGGCGGCCGCCUUGCCCCCGAGCCCGAUCGUGCUCUCGUUCGUUCCCGUGGCUUCUGGACUCUUCU